rnacentral:piRNA from 1 species
AUUGUGGAGAGAAUAGAUAGCGG